rnacentral:rRNA from 1 species
CCUACGGGAGACAGCAGUGAGGAAUAUUGGUCAAUGGGCGUAAGCCUGAACCAGCCAAGUCGCGUGAGGGAUGAAGGUUCUAUGGAUCGUAAACCUCUUUUAUAAGGGAAUAAAGUGUGGGACGAGUCCUAUUUUGUAUGUACCUUAUGAAUAAGGAUCGGCUAACUCCGUGCCAGCAGCCGCGGUAAUACGGAGGAUCCGAGCGUUAUCCGGAUUUAUUGGGUUUAAAGGGUGCGUAGGCGGCCUUUUAAGUCAGCGGUGAAAGUCUGUGGCUCAACCAUAGAAUUGCCGUUGAAACUGGGGGGCUUGAGUAUGUUUGAGGCAGGUGGAAUGCGUGGUGUAGCGGUGAAAUGCGUAGAUAUCACGCAGAAUCCCGAUGGCGAAGGCAGCCUGCCAAGCGAUGACUGACGCUGAUGUACGAAAGCGUGGGGAUCAAACAGGAUUAGAUACCCGAGUAGUC